CGCUGUCAGAUGGGAAAGCAGCCUUAGUCCUGCACUAAUGACUGAAGAGCCAGCUCUCACUGGAAUUCCAGUUAGAAGACAUCUCUUUUUUUCACCCUCAUUAAACUUAUGGGAAAAAGGGACACCCCAAAAUGGUUUCAACAUCUUCUCAUGGCCUCAGAAUUCCAGAAUUAGCGGAAUCCACUAGAUAAAUCACUCACUCAGGCUCCUACGGAUGAUUACACCACUAGGAAGACCUGAAAUCUCUCCACAAUGGCCACUACCCUAUUGAAAAGUCAAGAUCAUAAAGAUUGUCUUCCAGAUGCUUUAAAGCAAGAACCACCUUUUUCUCCAUCUCCCAGAUAUGGAUACAUUUUUCAGGGACCUGUUAAACCUCUGAGGCCUUCAAUUCUACUAUUUUAGUCCCUAGGAGAAGACACCAAGAUAUGAACUGAGAAACAAGAAACAGAGGCUGACUUAGAAGAAGAAAGAAGACAAAAAAGAAACCAGAGAGAGAAAACAGUACUAGAUCAUCUUGUGAUUAUCGCGUUAUGAAUUCCCAACUUUUUUUCAUGAGAAGAAAGUGUACCCCAAUAGCAGAGAGCACAGCAGAGGCAGGCAGGAGGUCGCUGACAGCGCCGCACAUCAUGCCUGGCCCAGGCCCCCCACGCCUCCGCCGCCGGUAGUGCCCAUUGGGCAUCUGCCAGCUGUGCCGCAGGGGUGGGGCCGAGCCAAUUGUGUUGGAGCGGCCCAGGCUGGUGGCCACCGCUGCUUCGAAGGUGCUGCUGUUCCAUGGAGCAAGCUGUAAGUAGCAAGCUCUAGAAGCUCUAGCUACCUAACAAGUGGCACACUGAAAGAAGGCUCGACUUCCCUGUCCCCGCUCACCUGUCUGUUGGGCGUCUGUGACCUGCCCUCGCUGGGAGACCUUGACUGGCGGCGCUCUGGGGACUCCCAGUCGGCCUGGGUUCCCCGCUCCUCUGAAUUGCAGCGGGAGACAUCAGGAGAAAGAAGAUGCUUACGCUCUUUGGACCGCCCCCGUUCUCUGCCCCCUGAGCGGUGAGUGUCAGACUUGUGGCCUGUGAGACGACAAGAGCAAUCAUCACAACCCAGCCUGCACCCAUUGUGGAGGACAGAGAUGUCUCAGAGCCUGGAACCCUCUCCCUAAGGAAUCCUGGCUUCUCUGGCAUGUCAGUGGGUGGUCUGAAAAGGUGGCAGGAGACAAAGGCUGAAAAUGCCCUUUUGUGAAGAAUGAUUUCCAAUGCUUGCUGUUGGGUCAAAUAGGGAAGCCGCCUCACCUGAAUCUGAGUUCAGGCGAUGAGCUGACAGCCGUAGGGAGGAGUGGUAACUCCGGCGGCGAGACUUGUAAGUGUUUUCGCUGCUUCUCUCCAUGGAGAACUCCUCCAGCCAUGAAGAAUUGGAACGCUUAUCCCGAAUAGUGGAAAACGAUCGUCUCAUGGAGCUGGGGUCUGUCACCACCUAGAAACAUGAGCCCCCAGUGGAAUACAGGCCAGUGUACACCCAGCUUUCAUUUUAUGCUCAGAGGGGAUUUGAUCUCAUGGCUCCUGAAUGAAGAACCAUGAGAUUGCUGUUCCUGGAACUGUCCAUCAUCAGCUGGGUCCAUACAAGCCAACUGGAAUAUUUCCUGGGGGGAGAGUGGACUCAUCGACGUGUAUCCACUACGGCCACUCCUGAAAAGCAAGGUCAAACUCAGAGAUCCAGUGCAAUGGCGAGACUCUAGACUCAGAAGAUAACAGACUUGAAUUCCAGUUCUGCCUCCUGCCAGCCGUAUGGCCUUGGGCAGCUUCCUAAGCCUCCAUUAACAUGCUCCAGCUCCUACAUAAAGUGGUGAUAC